GAUUAACGCUAGCGGCAGGCCUAAUACAUGCAAGUCGAGGGGCAGCAGGGUGUAGCAAUACAUCGCUGGCGACCGGCGCACGGGUGCGUAACACGUAUGCAACCUACCUUUAACUGGGGAAUAGCCCUCCGAAAGGAGGAUUAACACCGCAUAACAUCACGAGACGGCAUCGCCUUGUGAUCAAACCUCCGGGGGUUAAAGAUGGGCAUGCGUCCGAUUAGCUAGUUGGCGGGGUAACGGCCCACCAAGGCGACGAUCGGUAGGGGGUCUGAGAGGAUGAUCCCCCACACUGGUACUGAGACACGGACCAGACUCCUACGGGAGGCAGCAGUGGGAAUAUUGGACAAUGGGCGCAAGCCUGAUCCAGCCACGCCGCGUGAGUGAUGAAGGCC
rnacentral:rRNA from 1 species